GAGCGGUAGUUCAGUUGGUUAGAAUAUCGGCCUGUCACGCCGGGGGUCGCGGGUUCGAGUCCCGUCCGCUCC
rnacentral:tRNA from 1 species